rnacentral:rRNA from 1 species
CAGUCGCCGCGGUAAAACGUAGGUGGCAAGCGUUGUCCGGAAUUAUUGGGCGUAAAGGGCUCGCAGGCGGUUUCUUAAGUCUGAUGUGAAAGCCCCCGGCUCAACCGGGGAGGGUCAUUGGAAACUGGGAAACUUGAGUGCAGAAUAGGAGAGUGGAAUUCCACGUGUAGCGGUGAAAUGCGUAGAGAUGUGGAGGAACACCAGUGGCGAAGGCGACUCUCUGGUCUGUAACUGACGCUGAGGAGCGAAAGCGUGGGGAGCGAACAGGAUUAGAUACCCGUGUAGUCCCUGUCUCUUAUAA